AGUGAACGCUGGCGGUAGGCCUAACACAUGCCAGUCGAACGGCAGCACAGUAAGAGCUUGCUCUUACGGGUGGCGAGUGGCGGACGGGUGAGGAAUACAUCGGAAUCUACUUUUUCGUGGGGGAUAACGUAGGGAAACUUACGCUAAUACCGCAUACGACCUACGGGUGAAAGCAGGGGAUCUUCGGACCUUGCGCGAUUGAAUUAGCCGAUGUCGGAUUAGCUAGUUGGCGGGGUAAAGGCCCACCAAGGCGACGAUCCGUAGCUGGUCUGAGAGGAUGAUCAGCCACACUGGAACUGAGACACGGUCCAGACUCCUACGGGAGGCAGCAGUGGGGAAUAUUGGACAAUGGGCGCAAGCCUGAUCCAGCCAUACCGCGUGAGUGAAGAAGGCCUUCGGGUUGUAAAGCCCUUUUGUUAGGAAAGAAAAGCAGCAGGUUAAUACCCCGCUGUUCUGACGGUACCCAAAGAAUAAGCACCGGCUAACUUCGUG
rnacentral:rRNA from 1 species